rnacentral:rRNA from 1 species
GCUCAAAGUUGGAACCUGGCUGCCCUAGGCAGUCCGGAUUGUAAACUAAAGAGCGUGAUUCCAGGCAAGCCGGUUGAUCAAGUCCUUUGGAAUGAGGCGCCACUGAGGGUGAGAGCCCCGUAAGUCGACUGAGCAUUUGUCUUUUGUGUUUCGCGUUCAAAGAGUCAGGUUGUUUGGGAAUGCAGCCUAAAGCUGCUGGUAAAUCCCACCUAAAGCUAAAUACAGGCGAGAGACCGAUAGCGAACAAGUACCGUGAGGGAAAGAUGAAAAGAACUUUGAAAAGAGAGUUAAACAGUAUGUGAAAUUGCCAAGAGGGAAGCAUUUGGAGUUAGAUUGACUAGGAGUUAAUCAGCUUGGUCUUUGGACUGGGUGUACUUGACUUCUAUUGGUCUGCCAAUAGCAGUUAGUCCUAGUGGAAAAAACUAGAGGGAAGGUAGUCCUUCGGGAUGUUUAUAGACCUUUGGAAAAUACACUGGGAUUGACUGAGGAAUGCAGUAGAUGCCACUAAGGCUUCGUCUAGUGGGUGCUAGGCAAAGGUACUUGGUAUUUUCAGCUUGCUGAUGUGCUAGGUUACCCGAGUCUAGUCGCCUACUAGAACUGU